UACGUAGGGGGCAAGCGUUGUCCGGAAUCAUUGGGCGUAAAGAGCGUGUAGGCGGCCAGAUAAGUCCGCUGUGAAAUCUCGAGGCUCAACUUCGAGCUGUCGGUGGAAACUGUCUGGCUAGAGUCCGGAAGAGGAGAAUGGAAUUCCUGGUGUAGCGGUGAAAUGCGCAGAUAUCAGGAAGAACACCCGUGGCGAAGGCGGCCUCCUGGAUCGAUACUGACGCUGAGGCGCGAAAGCGUGGGGAGCAAACAGG
rnacentral:rRNA from 1 species